GCGGACGUGGUGCACGGUGCACCACUGCUUUCAAUUGAAUUUCCAGUUGACAUCAAGCAGUCAAACGGGGUUCGACUCCCCGCGUCCGCC